rnacentral:misc_RNA from 1 species
UCAUGGCUUCCUCAGCCGCGG